AUUGAACGCUGGCGGCAUGCUUUACACAUGCAAGUCGAACGGUAACAGGCCUUCGGGUGCUGACGAGUGGCGAACGGGUGAGUAAUGCAUCAGAACGUACCCAGAGGUGGGGGAUAACGCAGCGAAAGCUGUGCUAAUACCGCAUGUGAUCUGAGGAUGAAAGCGGGGGACCGAGCAGCAAUGUUUGGCCUCGCGCCUUUGGAGCGGCCGAUGUCGGAUUAGCUAGUUGGUGGGGUAAAGGCCUACCAAGGCGACGAUCCGUAGCUGGUCUGAGAGGACGACCAGCCACACUGGGACUGAGACACGGCCCAGACUCCUACGGGAGGCAGCAGUGGGGAAUUUUGGACAAUGGGCGCAAGCCUGAUCCAGCAAUGCCGCUUGCGGGAAGAAGGCCUUCGGGUUGUAAACCGCUUUUGGCAGGAACGAAACGGUGUCCGCUAAUACCGGGCGCUAAUGACGGUACCUGCAGAAUAAGCACCGGCUAACUACGUG
rnacentral:rRNA from 1 species